ACUUCCUCUAGAGGGAGCUGAUUGAAGCAGGGAGCUGCCGGCACCUCUAUGAUCACCGAAGCCUUGCGGGUCCCCAGGGCCGCGCCAGGACAAGCAGAGGCUGCAUCCGGACACCAGGAAUUCACUGACGCCCGUUCUGGGAAGCCAGGCCUGGGUACCUUACCCUUGGGAGCAGCCACCGGCCUCUCAGGAUCUCCGGCCUCCACCCUGCUGAGCGAUCCCGGGCCAGGGCCAGGGCCAGGGUCCGGGCAGCUUAUGUCCAGGAAAUACACCCUCUGUGGACGCUGUACAGAGCAGACCAGAGUUGUGGCCAGAACUGGGCAAAAGAGGAAAACAGAGGCUGGAGACAGGAGAGCAAGGAGGUACAUGUGUGAGACAGGUUGGGGGGCUGGGAAGAAGGUUUCCUCAACUACCUGCCACGCAGGAAUGGGAAGAGCACAGGUGGGACUCAAACAGGGGAAGUUGCCCUGGAAAGGACACCCUCUGAGGUUCACAAACUGGAAAAUAAGUCUGAAAUGAGUGUUAAGUGGAGGAUGGACUCAUGGAAAUUCAGAUAAUCAGCCUGAUGCCUUGACUAGCUAUGUGGCCUUGGGCACUAACUUCUUUGUGCCUCACCUUUCCCACCUAUAAAAUGGGCAUGCUAGCGCUUACCCUGCCAGGUUACUGUGCUCUUUCCAUGUCCAGCCCCCCCGGGGAGUACACAUACAUACGUGGUAGAAGCAUACCACAGGCACUCAGGAAAUGUUUGCAGCUAACAGGCCUGAGCUGGAAAACAGGUGUGUUCUGACUAGCCAAGGGGAAGUGAGACCUUCAAGGACAGCCUUCAUGGGUCAUUGGCUGGAAGGUAGCAAGUCUGCGGUAAGCAUGUGCUGGGUAAGGUGCAGGAGGCCCUGGGAGCAGCAGAAGGAACCCCAGCCUCUGAAACUAGCCUCCCUGGCCCAGGAGUGGGGUGAAAUGCAACUAGAGAUCCCCUAGGGCACUAUAGCAGCACCCCUUCUCCUGGCUGAUCCCUGGGUGGGAAUUUUGGCUGCCUGGCUUUUCUCACCCCCAGUGUCCCUUGAAGAGCUGCCAGUGUAAUACUCAGCUAACACUGCCCUCCACCAGGACCUGAGGAAUGGCAUCCGGACAAGGUCCAGGUCCUCCCAGGCAGGGGUGUGGAGAACCUGAUCCCUCCUCCACUUCGGAGGAGCAGGUAGCCCGGGACACGGAGGAGGUUUUCCGCAGCUACGUUUUUUACCGCCAUCAGCAGGAGCAGGAGGCUGAGGGGGCAGCUGCGCCCACCAACCCAGAGAUGGACACCUUGCCCCUAGAACCUACCAGCACCAUGGGGCAGGUGGGUCGCCAGCUCGCCAUCAUCGGGGACGACAUCAACCGGCGCUACGACUCAGAGUUCCAGGCCAUGUUGCAGCACCUGCAGCCAACAGCAGAGAACGCCUACGAGUAUUUCACCAAGAUUGCCUCGAGAGGCCACCACCCACUCUGCUGUGAUUCUAGGACCUGUCCUAACCUCUUCUGUCCUUUUCUCUCUGCUGUCCCUCGGGCUGCCAGGCCAGCAGCAGCACCCACAGCCUGUUUGAGAGCGGCAUCAACUGGGGCCGAGUGGUGGCUCUCCUGGGCUUCGGCUACCGCCUGGCCCUACAUGUCUACCAGCGCGGCCUGACUGGCUUCCUGGGCCAGGUGACCCGGUUCGUGGCCGACUUCAUGUUGCAUCACUGCAUUGCCCGGUGGAUCGCGCAGAGGGGUGGCUGGGUGGCAGCCCUGGACUUGGGAAAUGGCCCCAUCCGGAACGUGCUGAUAGUUCUGGCCGUGGUUUUGUUGGGCCAGUUUGUGGUACGAAGGUUCUUCAAGUCAUGACUCCCAGAGGGGCCCUUGGGGAUCCUGAGACCCCUGCAUGGACUUCGGCCCAGCCUUCUCCCCUCACCUCUUCCCCUGCCGGGGUUCCCCUCAUUAAGAGUACAGAAGCUUUAGCAAGUCGACACUUCAACUUUGGAGGGCCCCUGCCCAGAGAUCUGUCAGGCUGCAGGCUGCCCCAACAUUGCAUGGUGCUAAUAGGCCCCCUCUCAGAGAGGGGCUGUGGCCUCCUCCCUUAGCUCUCUGGGACCCCCUGUGCCCUGUCUGCUGGGCACUGGGGACAUUGAUAACUUGGGGACACAAGAGGCUGGGAGCCACUUCUCCCCAAGGAAUUAUCAACAGUUUUAGCUUUUUAUAAUACCCUUGGGAGGACGCACCCACCCCAGCCCCAUUCCUACCACUCUGCCCAAGGCCAGGAUGUCUGGGGUGUGGGGGUUAGUAGCCCUCCCCCUCCCCAGGAUUCAGCUAUUCUGGAAGGUAAGAGCUUGAGAACUGGGCCUGGAACCCAGUCCUGGCACUUCCUAAGCAUCAUGUCCCCCAGGGCAGGACUGGUGGGGACAAGGUCCUGCCCAGCUUCCUCUCCCUCACAUUCCUCCCCCACCAUUGCCUUUCAGUUGGACUCUCAGGGAUUCUAGGGUAUGAGUGGAGUCAGGGUGCAGACCAGAGCUGCCUGAAAUUAUUCAUCAGCACCUGCCAAGCCUGCCUUCUGAGAUCCUCCUCUUCCCCCUUCCCCUCACCUAUUACCACUUGCUCCUGCUCCAUUCACUACCAGUGAAGCUCGCCCCACCCCAUCACUCCAGAUAAGGAAGGUGGGGGUCUUGGGUGAGUGGGGUGCUGACAUUAUGGUUUAGGACUGUGGUUUGUUAUUGUCAGGGAAAAGGGGUAGGGAGCUCAUCCUGAGGUUUCUGAGUGAGAAAAGGGCUAUUAACACCACUAUGAACCCCAGGAUUGGGACCCUUCCUCAUGGCCUGGGCACAGUGUAAUCUGGGGGUAUGGAUGGAGAACUGUGAAUACUUGAACUCUACCCCCCUAGUGGAGUCUCUACACUCCACACCUACCUAAGCCCCUCCUGUGAGUGGGGUAGGAGUGCCUCAUCUAUCUUGCACAGCCUAGGGGUUUGGAGGUCAGGGGAGAGUUCUUAAUUAAGCCAAGAGCUGGGAGGGGAUGCAGGCAGAGCCGGCUGACCACCUCCCACCCUUUGAGUGUGUCUGAAAAUAAACUGCAAUCCCCCCAUU